rnacentral:tRNA from 1 species
ACUUGAAUAGCUUAAAGUUUAAAGCCCAGUAUUGAAGAUACUGUAAUAAGUAUAAUUACUUUUCAGGUA